CCCACUGCCCGUAAUGGGGUAGUAUCCUUACUUGAAUACAUAGAGUAAGGAAGGCAGACCCGGGGAACUGAAACAUCUAAGUACCCGGAGGAAGAGAAAGCAAACGCGAUUUCCUGAGUAGCGGCGAGCGAAACGGAAGAAGCCCAAACCAAGAGGCUUGCCUCUUGGGGUUGUAGGACACUCUAUGUCAGGAGUUACAAAGGAACGGAGUAAAUGAAGAGGUCUGGAAAGGCCCGUCAAAGAAGGUAACAACCCUGUAGUUGAAACUUCGUUCCCUCCAGAGUGGAUCCUGAGUACGGCGGGACACGUGAAAUCCCGUCGGAAGCAGGGAGGACCAUCUCCCAAGGCUAAAUACUCCCUAGUGACCGAUAGUGAACCAGUACCGUGAGGGAAAGGUGAAAAGCACCCCGGGAGGGGAGUGAAAGAGAACCUGAAACCGUGUGCCUACAAGUAGUUAGAGCUCUGUGCGUAUUUCCUUCGGAAAGACGCCGAGUGAUAGCGUGCCUUUUGUAGAAUGAACCGGCGAGUUACGAUU
rnacentral:rRNA from 1 species